rnacentral:rRNA from 1 species
CGAGAGCAAGCGGACCUCAUAAAGUGCGUCGUAGUCCGGAUUGGAGUCUGCAACUCGACUCCAUGAAGUCGGAAUCGCUAGUAAUCGUAGAUCAGAAUGCUACGGUGAAUACGUUCCCGGGCCUUGUACACACCGCCCGUCACACCAUGGGAGUGGGUUGCAAAAGAAGUAGGUAGCUUAACCUUCGGGAGGGCGCUUACCACUUUGUGAUUCAUGACUGGGGUGAAGUCGUAACAAGGUAACCGUAGGGGAACCUGCGGUUGGAUCACCUCCUUACCUUAAAGAA